AGCGGACGCCACCAGUCUGUUCAAAACAGUUUAUUUUAUUUUUUGUCAGACAAACACAUUGAUUUCUGGACCACAGUAGAGGAUGGAAACCUUUCACAAACUUAUUUAUUUGAAAAUACAAAUAUAAAAUUAUACUUUCCACAUCUGUGAUGUGAGAGACCCCCAUCCACAUAGUAUUUUACAACAGGGCUUUAGAAAGCCAUACACAGAGACCUGAAAGAUGCUUGAUAUAUAUAGAUACAUAUAUAUGUAUAUAUAUAAAAAAAAAGGUCACUACCAAAGUUCUCAUCAGUUCAUACUAAAGUAUAAAAGGAAGGGCUAGGCCUGCCACUCUUUAGGUACAUUUAUGACCACCUGAAAUGCUUAGACUCGCAUUCGAUUACUGAUGGAAUUCAGACAUAUAAUGAAUUAUAUUUGCUACCCACUAUAGUCCUAAUGACACACAGAGAUCCCACACGUGGUGUUGGAGUAUGUACAGAAUACAGCAUUAUAGCAUGGGUGACUCCAGCUUUUGGUCAAAGCCUUUUCGCUUUGAUUUUACACUGAUCUGAAAUGAAAUUCUGUCAAGACAAUACAUUCCGAUUGUUUGGUAACUUGCAGACAGAUCACUUAAGAUUUACUUAUUUCAACGACUUAUUUCGCUUUUUGGUAAAUUUUAUUACAGUAUUAAAGUAUUGCUUAGUUACAGAAUCUCCUCAUGUAGUGUCCGCACACAGAAAUGGGUUUGAAUUCGAUUCUGUACUUAUGAAACUCUACAGUGUAUGUACGCAGACCACAGAAUCUGCCAGUGUGUCUUCAAUGCACUCUGUCUCCCAAACUUACACCAACCUCCAGUUUCUGUUUCAACCAUUUUGCGUCUUAAAAAAACACACAAAAAUAAAAACAAAAAAACAAAACGAGAAAAAAAAAAUCCAAAAAAGUUCCACUCGAGAAACAUUUCCACAGCAUACGAUAGCUACGAGUUAGUGUUUGUAAACAGUUUCAUAUGCAAUAUCAUAUAUAACCAUGGCUGACCUUCAGUAAGAAUGUAGUAAACUAUAUUGCUUUAUUAUUGAUUAUGUUGCACUGAAUGAAUGGCAAAAUGAAACAGAAAGGGAUCUGUGGCUUAAGUCACUAGCCCUCAUUCACACUAAAGAUCAAAAUAGCAUUAUAGGUUUUAUAGCUGGGAGGGAAGGGGGAAAAAAAAAUCUGAACACCUUUCAGGUCAUUAUUACCAACAAUUACCCAAUGAUUUAACUAGUCUAGCAAGAUGUGUAACAUUCACCAGCUGUAUACUGCUGUACAAUGAAAAAAAAAUUACAGCAACAGAGCCAUGCUACCUUAAAGUCCAAGCUACAAAUUCAAAUUAAAAUGAACGUUAUGAAGUAUAAAACCAAAACAAAACCAAAAAAAAAAAAAAAAAGGACAGAUCGGUCUUCAUUUUAAUCAAGCCAAUCACUAAUCAAAUUUGUUUUGGAGGGGGAGUUGGGGAAAGAGGGUCAUUACACUCCUGAUUAUCCUGGAUACGGCACUUCCUUCCAAAAGUGCCACGGGGAUGAUGGAUAUAAGCAGGCCCGUUGCAUCAACAGAGUCACCCAAAGCUACCAGGUGCACGUGGCAUAGCCACGUGCCGUUAUGGGCCUGCCUCCACGUUAAGUGAUGGACCUUUGAAUCAUAGACAAUGAGGGUUGGAAGGGACCUCAGGAGGUCACAUCUAGUCCAGCCCCCUGCUCAAAGCAGGACCAGCCCCAACUACAUCAUCCCAGCCAAGGCUUUGUCUAGCUGGGAUGAUCCAGUUGGGGGUGGUCCCACUUUAUGGAGCUCCACAUUAAACGAGACACAGCUGGAGGUAUUUUGCUUUUGUUGCCCGUUUGCACAACUAGGCAGGGAUUUCGUUCCAGUAAGUCCAGAGGAGGGGUCGGUCAUCGGUCGGGGAGGGGUUUAUCACUGUUCUAAACGGGGGGAUUUUGAAACAAAAGGGCGAGACCCGUUGUCGCGAUGCUUGACUAAAAUAAAGAUGUAGCUGCAUCCUUUGUGCUAAAAAAGGAAUUUACAAAUCAAAUCAAAUCCUUUGAGAUGGACUUCUAGAUGAGUGGGGGACUAAAGUGAACCUUAGUCUAGGUAGCCACAUCAAAAACAUAUCAGGUUCCACAAUAUUUGUGCUAUGGGCCACUGGGACUUUUCAAAAGGUAUAUAAACAUCUAAAACAUAUUCACACAGAUUAUCAAUUUCUUCUGAGCAUUCUUAAAAAAAUAUUUUUUUUUCUCUUAGUAAAAUCAUUUUAAUAUACCAUGCCUCCCUCUUUUAAAAAAUAAAUUAAAAAAAUCCAGUUUUGCAUAUCUAGCGUUAGCAUUUAAGGUAGUAUGGCACACCCCCUCUUUAAAGUCAAGGGUGGGGAUCUACAAAAUGCCUUAAGAGUUUGCCAGCAUUUUUAACAUUGUGAGACCUUUGGUUAGUUGAAACCACAUCAGAUCAGCAAAAAAUAAAAUUAAAUUAAAAAUUAAAAAAGAGGAAAAAAAAAAAAACAAAGAAAGAAACAAAAGGAAAAACUGCCCAAAAAUCAUUAGCAUUUUUUUUUCUUAAAUAAGAGAAAGUUCUAUCCUUACUGGUCCUAAAUCUGAAUAACUACAUCUAAAUUUUUAACCUUAAUUACGAUAUACCUACCAAUAUGUACUAGAAGAGGAAGAGAAAGAGAGAGAAAGAGGAGAGGGGGAACUUCACUACACUAGCAUCAGGACAGCACUCUUACAAGAUAGCCAUUUUAUACACUAUUAACAUACAACAAUGAUCAACAAAGAAUAUUCUGUGAGGUGAUAGGGAAUGGAGAGGAAAAACAAAUGGUAGUACAGUACGUCAUCAACAUUGACAAAAUAUUAAUAAAAAAUUCCCUGACUUAUACAUUGACUCGCAGGGAAUUUGGUUUGCUGUUUGUGUGUGUGUUUUUUUUUUAAUUUUUAUUUUUUAAAGAAUUGUUUUAUUUUUAUUUUUUAUUAUUACUUGAUCAAGUCUCAAUAUUUAAAAAGCGUCCAGCAUUUUGCUUAAACCUGGUUGUUCUGAAAUAAGAAAAAAAAAAAAAAAACCAAACCCAAAACCUAAAAUAUUACACAAAAAAGCAUGUUUUUAAAAACAAGAAAAACAAGGUGUUUUCCUUUCCGUUAGCAGUAUGGUGCCUGGUUUUUGUUUUUUGUGUUUUUUUUGUUAAAGAUGCCUUGCUCUACCUUGUCUAUUGAACGUCUACAUUAGUCUACUUGUUAGUAAAAUUUACAAAAAUAAGAGUGCAGCAGCUCUUUUUAACAAAUGUCGCAUUCAGUGUCUUAUACUGGCUGUACCUAAAGUACCAAAUUUAUAAACGUAACAAUUUAAAAAAAUAUUAAUAAAACUUGUCAAUAUUACGUUAAAAAAAGAAGAAAUAUAUCCACACUACAGUAUGUUCUUAAUGCCACCUACCAUGUUGUACUUCUAUUUUGCUGUUGCAGGCCUAUUUACCAAUAUUAAAAAAAUUAAAUUAAAAAAUAUCCUUCAUAAGUUUCCUCCCCCAACAGAGGACCAUAUAUAUAACAGCCAAAUAUUAAACAUGUGCAAAUAGGAAACUGUCAGUUUUCGCCCCACCAGUCACAGUGCAAUGAUGUUUUAUACUUUUUUUUAUUUUUUUUUUUAAUUCUGUUUACAUCUACAAUAAAUUAAAAUCUUCUGUCACUUCUAGGGUGAUACUUGUAGCACUGAGGUAUUCCCAAAAAAAAAAAAAGGUUGCUUUCCUAAUUCGUUAAUAUAGAAAAUAAUGGAUAAAAAGGUAAUAAUGCAAAGCUUUAAAACCGCUCUCCCUACAGCACGUGAAAUGAGGAAGAGAAACCUCUUCUCUGUCAAGCUUUGUAGGACAUAUCGAGCAGCUGAAAUGACUGGACAGCAAGUUGAUCUAAUUUAAAACAACAACUAAAAAAGGAUUCACAAGUUCAAAAAACCUUAUAUCACCUCUUUCAACAAAAAAAAGCACUUAUAGAAAAAAGGACACGCAAAACUUUUGGAGUCCUUACCUUAUUGCCGAAAAUAGAUAGAAUUAGGUUAACAGAGACAUCACAAAUGAAAAGACCUGCUACGCCACUACACUCUCAGCUCCCAGACAACACAAACGAGAGACUUGACUUCAGCCCACCUGCUGCACUUGCUCUACCUACAAUUCAGUGUGCGCUAAAAUUCCACCUGAAGAGUUUUUACAGUUUCAGAAUUGGUACCAAAAGACUGAGAAUCACGUUAUCGUCUCAGCAUCCUUUAAGCAACAACUACAUAAAACAAAAGGGAAGGAAAAAAAAAAUCAAAAGGAGGGAAAACAAAAAGAAAACCCUUAAUAUAAACAGUUAGUUAUAGUAUGGUUAGGCUUUUUACUAGAUACACAAAGAAUAGAUCUACGUGACUACGAGACUAUGUCAAAAUGCUAUGAAAACAAAACGUGAUUCAAAUCGAUUUAAAAGGGGGGGGGGGGGAGGAGGGAAGGGGGG